UCCGUAGGCGGGCUAAUAAGUCAGGGGUGAAAUCCCACAGCUUAACUGUGGAACUGCCUUUGAUACUGUUAGUCUUGAGUUAUAUGGAAGUAGAUAGAAUGUGUAGUGUAGCGGUGAAAUGCAUAGAUAUUACACAGAAUACCGAUUGCGAAGGCAGUCUACUACGUAUAUACUGACGCUAAUGGACGAAAGCGUGGGGAGCGAACAGGAUUAGAUACCCUGGUAGUC
rnacentral:rRNA from 1 species